UACGGAGGGUGCAAGCGUUCUCCGGAUUCACUGGGUUUAAAGGGUGCGUAGGCGGUCAGGUAAGUCAGUGGUGAAAUCCCCGAGCUUAACUUGGGAACUGCCGUUGAUACUAUCUGUCUUGAAUAUCGUGGAGGUGAGCGGAAUAUGUCAUGUAGCGGUGAAAUGCUUAGAUAUGACAUAGAACACCAAUUGCGAAGGCAGCUCGCUACACGAAUAUUGACUCUGAGGCACGAAAGCGUGGGGAUCAAACAGG
rnacentral:rRNA from 1 species